GAGGUUUGGGUUGGACAUCAGGAGGAAUUUCUUCACAGAAAGGGUUGUUGGGCAUCAAAACAGGGACCAGCCUCCCUUGUUAGGAAAAUGGCUUUUAUGUAGAAGCAGUUUGAGGUCACUGAUGACACCAGGUCAUUUGGGCUCUGCAUAGCAAAGCUUAAAUGUGGAAAUACUUCCAGUAUCCUUGCACGAUGAAACCCCAGAAGAUUAAUGAUAAAUGUAUUUCCUUGUGCUUCACAGUUUUACCACAGAGUAUGGAGUGGAGGAAAUGUGAAGACAGAGAUCUUUCUUUUUCUGCUCUUAAUGAGAAUCUGUUCACUUUGAUGAGCAUCAAAUCUCUCUCUGUUAAUUGCUGUUGAUAGAAGUGCAGAUUAAUCAAUAUUUCUAUACAUCAAGGCCUAUACCAGGCACAUCUGGAGAACCAAAAUAAGAGGAAAAGUCUCAGUACUGCCAGAGCCCAAGGCACAGAGUUUGCACAGUUGCAAGUGUUCCCUUAAUUACAGAGUUAUUAAAAUGUCAUCUUACAGUCAUUAUAUCCUUACCUUAUAUCUUAAAAACCAUUUUAAAAAAUGCAUUCCUGGAGCUGGAUAUUUGCAGGAAGGGUGAGGAUAAAACACACCAUUUCUUUCAGCCUUCCUUGGAGCCUGUUCAGGCCAUUGUGUGGAGCUUUUCGCCUGACUGGUUUCCUGUAGCAGAACAUUCCAUGCAGGAUUCAUUUCUCCAGGUGAUUUGCAUACCUCCUGCUUGGAAGGGCCACAUCAGACCAGGGACACAAUUGUCCUGCUUGCUGGGAAGUACUGAAAGUCUGGCCUGGAAGAAAUGAAUCUUCAUCUUCAUGAAGAUGAUGAUGUUGAAGUUAAAACUGCCAUCUGACCUCCUCACUGACUUUAAGGAAGGGGCUGGGGCGAGUCCAUGGACUGCCUGCUGAGUUUCUUUGUAUUUGGAAUUCCCUCCAAACGGCAGCGGCAUUCUGUGGAGCAGUAGGAGUUGAUUCAGGGAUGCACCUGCUGAAGGAAGUCAACAAACCCAUUCUGAGCCCUUCUGGAGAGAUGACACCGUUGAGCUGCACGGAGCCGAUUCUAUUGUGACAUCUAAAAGAAAGCAGAAAUCUCCUACUGGCCCCUGAGGGCCAAAAAAAUCUCUGGUUUCAUGAGGGAGGCAGAACUAGCCACAAAUGACAUUAUCUUCCACGUGGGAUCUGAUAAAUGGAAAUUAAAAUCUAGCAGGUGGCACUUGGCUUUGCUUUU